rnacentral:rRNA from 1 species
GGGUUGUGAGGUUAAGCGACUAAGCGUACACGGUGGAUGCCCUGGCAGUCAGAGGCGAUGAAGGACGUGCUAAUCUGCGAAAAGCGUCGGUAAGGUGAUAUGAACCGUUAUAACCGGCGAUGUCCGAAUGGGGAAACCCAGUGUGAUUCGUCACACUAUCGUUAACUGAAUACAUAGGUUAACGAGGCGAACCGGGGGAACUGAAACAUCUAAGUACCCCGAGGAAAAGAAAUCAACCGAGAUUCCCCCAGUAGCGGCGAGCGAACGGGGAGCAGCCCAGAGUCUGAAUCAGCUUGUGUGUUAGUGGAACGGUCUGGAAAGUCCGACGGUACAGGGUGAUAGUCCCGUACACCAAAAUGCACAGGCUGUGAACUCGAAGAGUAGGGCGGGACACGUGGUAUCCUGUCUGAAUAUGGGGGGACCAUCCUCCAAGGCUAAAUACUCCUGACUGACCGAUAGUGAACCAGUACCGUGAGGGAAAGGCGAAAAGAACCCCGGCGAGGGGAGUGAAAAAGAACCUGAAACCGUGUACGUACAAGCAGUGGGAGCACCUUCGGGUGUGACUGCGUACCUUUUGUAUAAUGGGUCAGCGACUUAUAUUCUGUAGCAAGGUUAACCGUAUAGGGGAGCCGCAGGGAAACCGAGUCUUAACUGGGCGUUAAGUUGCAGGGUAUAGACCCGAAACCCGGUGAUCUAGCCAUGGGCAGGUUGAAGGUUGGGUAACACUAACUGGAGGACCGAACCGACUAAUGUUGAAAAAUUAGCGGAUGACUUGUGGCUGGGGGUGAAAGGCCAAUCAAACCGGGAGAUAGCUGGUUCUCCCCGAAAGCUAUUUAGGUAGCGCCUCGUGAAUUCAUCUUCGGGGGUAGAGCACUGUUUCGGCUAGGGGGUCAUCCCGACUUACCAACCCGAUGCAAACUACGAAUACCGAAGAAUGUUAUCACGGGAGACACACGGCGGGUGCUAACGUCCGUCGUGAAGAGGGAAACAACCCAGACCGCCAGCUAAGGUCCCAAAGUCAUGGUUAAGUGGGAAACGAUGUGGGAAGGCACAGACAGCCAGGAUGUUGGCUUAGAAGCAGCCAUCAUUUAAAGAAAGCGUAAUAGCUCACUGGUCGAGUCGGCCUGCGCGGAAGAUGUAACGGGGCUAAACCAUGCACCGAAGCUGCGGCAGCGACACUAUGUGUUGUUGGGUAGGGGAGCGUUCUGUAAGCCUGCGAAGGUGACCUGUGAGGGUUGCUGGAGGUAUCAGAAGUGCGAAUGCUGACAUAAGUAACGAUAAAGCGGGUGAAAAGCCCGCUCGCCGGAAGACCAAGGGUUCCUGUCCAACGUUAAUCGGGGCAGGGUGAGUCGACCCCUAAGGCGAGGCCGAAAGGCGUAGUCGAUGGGAAACAGGUUAAUAUUCCUGUACUUGGUGUUACUGCGAAGGGGGGACGGAGAAGGCUAUGUUAGCCGGGCGACGGUUGUCCCGGUUUAAGCAUGUAGGCUGAUUGUCCAGGCAAAUCCGGAUAAUCAAGGCUGAGGUGUGAUGACGAGGCACUACGGUGCUGAAGUAACAAAUGCCCUGCUUCCAGGAAAAGCCUCUAAGCAUCAGGUAACAUCAAAUCGUACCCCAAACCGACACAGGUGGUCAGGUAGAGAAUACCAAGGCGCUUGAGAGAACUCGGGUGAAGGAACUAGGCAAAAUGGUGCCGUAACUUCGGGAGAAGGCACGCUGGUGUGUAGGUGAAGUCCCUGCGGAUGGAGCUGAGACCAGUCGAAGAUACCAGCUGGCUGCAACUGUUUAUUAAAAACACAGCACUGUGCAAACACGAAAGUGGACGUAUACGGUGUGACGCCUGCCCGGUGCCGGAAGGUUAAUUGAUGGGGUUAUCCGUAAGGAGAAGCUCUUGAUCGAAGCCCCGGUAAACGGCGGCCGUAACUAUAACGGUCCUAAGGUAGCGAAAUUCCUUGUCGGGUAAGUUCCGACCUGCACGAAUGGCGUAAUGAUGGCCAGGCUGUCUCCACCCGAGACUCAGUGAAAUUGAACUCGCUGUGAAGAUGCAGUGUACCCGCGGCAAGACGGAAAGACCCCGUGAACCUUUACUAUAGCUUGACACUGAACAUUGAGCCUUGAUGUGUAGGAUAGGUGGGAGGCUUUGAAGCGUGGACGCCAGUCUGCGUGGAGCCAACCUUGAAAUACCACCCUUUAAUGUUUGAUGUUCUAACGUUGGCCCCUUACCGGGGUUGCGGACAGUGUCUGGUGGGUAGUUUGACUGGGGCGGUCUCCUCCCAAAGCGUAACGGAGGAGCACGAAGGUUAGCUAAUCCUGGUCGGACAUCAGGAGGUUAGUGCAAUGGCAUAAGCUAGCUUGACUGCGAGCGUGACGGCGCGAGCAGGUGCGAAAGCAGGUCAUAGUGAUCCGGUGGUUCUGAAUGGAAGGGCCAUCGCUCAACGGAUAAAAGGUACUCCGGGGAUAACAGGCUGAUACCGCCCAAGAGUUCAUAUCGACGGCGGUGUUUGGCACCUCGAUGUCGGCUCAUCACAUCCUGGGGCUGAAGUAGGUCCCAAGGGUAUGGCUGUUCGCCAUUUAAAGUGGUACGCGAGCUGGGUUUAGAACGUCGUGAGACAGUUCGGUCCCUAUCUGCCGUGGGCGCUGGAGAAUUGAGGGGGGCUGCUCCUAGUACGAGAGGACCGGAGUGGACGCAUCACUGGUGUUCGGGUUGUCAUGCCAAUGGCACUGCCCGGUAGCUAAAUGCGGAAGAGAUAAGUGCUGAAAGCAUCUAAGCACGAAACUUGCCCCGAGAUGAGUUCUCCCUGAGACUUUAAGUCUCCUGAAGGAACGUUGAAGACGACGACGUUGAUAGGCCGGGUGUGUAAGCGCAGCGAUGCGUUGAGCUAACCGGUACUAAUGAACCGUGAGGCUUAACCUUACAACGCCGAAG